UACGUAGGGGGCAAGCGUUGUCCGGAUUUAUUGGGCGGAAAGAGCGUGUAGGCGGCCAGGUAGGUCGGUUGUGAAAUCCCGAGGCUCAACCUCGGGCCUGCAGUCGAUACGGGCAAACUAGAGUGUGGUAGGGGAGACUGGAAUUCCUGGUGUAGCGGUGAAAUGCGCAGAUAUCAGGAGGAACACCGGCGGCGAAGGCGGGUCUCUGGGCCAUAACUGACGCUGAGGAUCGAAAGCGUGGGGAGCGAACAGG
rnacentral:rRNA from 1 species